rnacentral:rRNA from 1 species
GAUGAACGCUGGCGGCGUGCCUAAUACAUGCAAGUCGAGCGAACAGACGAGGAGCUUGCUCCUCUGACGUUAGCGGCGGACGGGUGAGUAACACGUGGAUAACCUACCUAUAAGAGUGGGAUAACUUCGGGAAACCGGAGCUAAUACCGGAUAAUAUAUUGAACCGCAUGGUUCAAUAGUGAAAUACGGUUUUGCUGUCACUUAUAGAUGGAUCCGCGCCUCAUUAGGUAGUUGGUAAGGUAACGGCUUACCAAGGCAACGAUUAGUAGCCGACUGGAGAGGGUGAUCGGCCAAACUGGAACUGAGCCACGGCCCAGACUCCUAGGGGAGGCGCAAGUAGGGAAUCUUCCGCAAUGGGCGAAAGCCUGACGGAGCAACGCCGCGUGAGUGAUGAAGGUCUUCGGAUGGUAAAACUCUGUUAUUAGGGAAGAACAAAUGUGUAAGUAACUAUGCACGUCUUGACGGUACCUAAUCAGAAAGCCACGGCUAACUACGUG